rnacentral:rRNA from 1 species
UACGGAGGGGGCUAGCGUUGUCCGGAAUUAUUGGGCGUAAAGGGCUCGUAGGCGGUUUGUCGCGUCGGGAGUGAAAACUCAGGGCUUAACCCUGAGCCUGCUUCCGAUACGGGCAGACUAGAGGUAUGCAGGGGAGAACGGAAUUCCUGGUGUAGCGGUGAAAUGCGCAGAUAUCAGGAGGAACACCGGUGGCGAAGGCGGUUCUCUGGGCAUUACCUGACGCUGAGGAGCGAAAGUGUGGGGAGCGAACAGG